AACUUUGAGCGGUGGAUCACUCGGCUCGUG
rnacentral:rRNA from 1 species